rnacentral:rRNA from 1 species
AUCCAGACUCCUACGGGAGGCAGCAGUGGGGAAUAUUGCACAAUGGGGGAAACCCUGAUGCAGCGACGCCGCGUGAGCGAUGAAGUAUUUCGGUAUGUAAAGCUCUAUCAGCAGGGAAGAAGAUGACGGUACCUGACUAAGAAGCCCCGGCUAACUACGUGCCAGCAGCCGCGGUAAUACGUAGGGGGCAAGCGUUAUCCGGAUUUACUGGGUGUAAAGGGAGCGUAGACGGCGAUGCAAGCCAGAUGUGAAAGCCCGGGGCUCAACCCCGGGACUGCAUUUGGAACUGUGUGGCUGGAGUGUCGGAGAGGCAGGCGGAAUUCCUAGUGUAGCGGUGAAAUGCGUAGAUAUUAGGAGGAACACCAGUGGCGAAGGCGGCCUGCUGGACGAUGACUGACGUUGAGGCUCGAAAGCGUGGGGAGCAAACAGGAUUAGAUACCCCAGUA